CCUGAGCCCAUACUAAAAUGUGAAGGUGUCAGACUGAUUGGUCAGAGAGCGUCGUCACUGGAAGAGUCAUGAGCGUGUCACAAGAAUCCGACCGAACAAUGCCCAACUGUAGAUCAGCUACAAAUACUUCAAAAUACUAAAAACAUGCGUUUUAUCUCCAAAGUUUAUCUAAAAAUAUUUAACAGAGGAGUCUGGUGUAUUUGGCGACAGCACUGCUGAAAGCCGGCGAUCGUGAGCCCAAUCACAACCUGUUGAGUUGAGCUGUGGGCCACGCCCCUCCAGCCUGGAUACACCAGGUGAAGUGAUUUACUAAUCAAGUGAGUUUGGAGUCACGCACACACAGAAUCACUACAGAGCAGCAGUGGAAGCAAGCAGCAUGAGGAGGAAUGAGAUCCGGUGGAUUGGACUGAAACACCAACUGUGCAAAUCAAAGCUUUCAAGGAAGACACAGCCGGUUUUUCACCUGGCUGUAAAUACUGCAUCAAUCUUCUAAAUAAAAGAAAGAAGAAAAAGAGAGCAAGUGUUACGAGUGGAUUCCUGUUAAGUCUUCCUGAAAAAUUAGCAGCCCUUUCAAGUGGGGAGAUUUGCACACUAAAGCCUUUCCACAGUGAGGGACUUGACACAACCCGUUCACAACCCAGUCUGUCAUGCAGGAAGUACUGAACCAUUCUGUGGACAAACCGAUUCUAAUGGUUCAGUUACACCGUAAACACUAGUUUCCUGCAGCUGUGCUAUGAUGACUCCGCCCACGUUGAGGAGGAACUGUGGGGAAAAAAAAGGUGUCUGAUACCAACCCGAGAAGAAUCGCUCUAGAGCUGCAUAGCAUCCCUUAAAGUGCCAUCAUUUGAAGUCAACACACAAGUUAAUAGAAAACAAGCUACUUUUUGCAUAAUUGUAAAUGUUUGCGUGGAGUAUUUUUCUAAUAAUAGUAAUAAUAUUUUGAAUGUGGGCAGAGAUUUCCAUGAAAUGUUGUAUCAUGUAUAUGAAUUUCCCGCAUACCUUGUGUGAUCAGUGUGACAGGUGAGUCUGCUUCCUUGUUUUUAAAGUGUGCUUGUGUGAGUUAUUGGCACAGAGUGCAGGAUGUUGGCACCUGCUCUUAGUGAUAGCGUGGCUGCCAGCAGGGACAAGGGAAAAACUGGUUCACCUAAUAAAUUCCACCCCUGUUUGAGUCUAACUA